ensembl:lncRNA
CGGGGACUUUCGGGGCCGGGACGGGAGGAGGCCUCCCCAGGGGGGCCCGCGUAGCGCUGCGGCUUUAUUUGCAGCGCUGAGCCCGGGUCAGAGCGGGUUCACGCUGCUGCUAGCAGGCCGCCCGAGUGCUGCGCUUCUUCGUGCCGCGUCGGAGGCAGCGGGGUGGUGCCGGUGAGCCGUUAACGCGCGGGAAGGGUCCCACAGUGCAGCCGCUGCGGGGCGCGUCCGAGGACUGGAGGGCAGCCACGGCCCUCGGGGCCUGAAGGCCGGUCUUGAGGUGGCACUCACAGCGACAGAACCACGGUCCGCUUAGUUCUGUCUGAGCGUAGCGUUGCUGCGGUUCAGGUCUAAGUUCUGCACGUAAACAGGUGACGUUCCCAUCAGCAGGAGCUUCAGCGGAGUUAGCACAACCCUGGAGAAAGAAAUUUUCCAGCAAUACUUGGGGAGAGAAAAGUCAUUUCUAAAUAUUCAAAUAAAAGGAAAAGUGACACCUGCACAACAAGCAUGAGUCA